rnacentral:tRNA from 1 species
GCCCGGAUGACGAAAUUGGUAGACGUAGCAGACUCAAAAUCUGCCGGUGUCAAAGCCGUGCCGGUUCGAGUCCGGCUCCGGGCACCA